rnacentral:rRNA from 1 species
CCUACGGGGGGCUGCAGUGAGGAAUAUUGGUCAAUGGGCGGGAGCCUGAACCAGCCAAGCCGCGUGAGGGAAGAAGGUACAGCGUAUCGUAAACCUCUUUUGUCAGGGAACAAAGGCGGGGACUAGUCCCCGGAUGAGGGUACCUGAAGAAAAAGCAUCGGCUAACUCCGUGCCAGCAGCCGCGGUAAUACGGAGGAUGCGAGCGUUAUCCGGAUUUAUUGGGUUUAAAGGGUGCGCAGGCGGUCUGUUAAGUCAGCGGUCAAAGCCCGGGGCUCAACCCCGGCCCGCCGUUGAAACUGGCAGUCUCGAGUUGGAGAGAAGUAUGCGGAAUGCGCGGUGUAGCGGUGAAAUGCAUAGAUAUCGCGCAGAACUCCGAUUGCGAAGGCAGCAUGCCGGCUCCACACUGACGCUGAGGCACGAAAGCGUGGGUAUCGAACAGGAUUAGAUACCCCAGUAGUC